rnacentral:rRNA from 1 species
CCCUUAGAUGUUCUGGGCCGUACGCGCGCUACAAUGAUGAAUUCAACGAGUUUAUAACCUUGGUUGAAAAGCCUGGGUAAUCUUUUGAACUUUCGUCGUGAUGGGGCUAGACCCUUGCAAUUAUUGGUCUCCAACGAGGAAUUCCUAGUAAACGCAAGUCAUCAGCUUGCAUUGAUUACGUCCCUGCCCUUUGUACACACCGCCCGUCGCACCUACCGAUUGAAUGGUCCGGUGAAAUCUUCGGAUUGAGACUUUGAUUUCUUCACGGAAAACGCUGUUUUAAGAAGUUGAUUAAACCUUACCAUUUAGAGGAAGGUGAAGUCGUAACA